UACAGAGGUGGCAAGCGUUGUUCGGAAUUACUGGGCGUAAAGGGCGCGUAGGCGGCCCGUCAAGUCCCGUGUGAAAGCCCCCGGCUCAACCGGGGAACGGCGCGGGAAACUAGCAGGCUUGAGUUCGGGAGAGGGAAGCGGAAUUCCGGGUGUAGCGGUGAAAUGCGCAGAUAUCAGUCGGAACACCGGUGGCGAAGGCGGCUUCUUGGGCCAUUUCUGACGCUGAGGCGCGAAAGCUAGGGGAGCGAACGGG
rnacentral:rRNA from 1 species